CAGUCGCCACGGGAAUACAGAGGGUGCAAGCGUUAAUCGGAAUUACUGGGCGUAAAGCGCGCGUAGGUGGUUUGUUAAGUUGGAUGUGAAAGCCCCGGGCUCAACCUGGGAACUGCAUCCAAAACUGGCAAGCUAGAGUACGGUAGAGGGUGGUGGAAUUUCCUGUGUAGCGGUGAAAUGCGUAGAUAUAGGAAGGAACACCAGUGGCGAAGGCGACCACCUGGACUGAUACUGACACUGAGGUGCGAAAGCGUGGGGAGCAAACAGGAUUAGAGACCCCCGUAGUCCCUGUCUCUUAUAA
rnacentral:rRNA from 1 species